rnacentral:ncRNA from 1 species
AUAAAGUUUUAUUUUAGCUUGAAAAUUUAAUUAAUUUUUUUUUUAUAUGUAAAUUUUAGUGUGAUUUUUAAAUAAUUUAAAUAAUUAUUUAUAUUUUUAUAUUCGCAGUAUUUAUUUUUAUAAAUUAAGGAAAUUUAGAUUCAGAAAUAAAUUUUAUUAUUAACAAAUUUUGUGCCAGCAGUUGCGGUUAUACAAAAAAUAAAAUUAAAUUUUAUUAAUAUAUAAUUAAUUGUUUUAUUUAAAUUGAAAUUUAAAUUUAUUAGGUGAAAUUUUAAAUUUAAUUUUAUAUUUUAGUAAAUAAUUUGAAGUUAUUAAAUUUAUUUUUAAACUAGGAUUAGAUACCCUAUUAUUUUAAAUGUAAAUUUUAAAAUAUUUAAUUAUUAAUAGUUAAAUUCUUUAAAUUUAAAAUUUUUGGCGGUAUUUUAAUCUUUUCAGAGGAACCUGUUCUGUAAUUGAUAAUCCACGAUAAAUUAUACUUUUUUUAAUAAUUUGUAUAUCGUUGUUUAUAAAAAAUUUUUUUAGAAUUAAAAUUUUUGUAAUUAAUAAUAAUUAAAUAAAUCAGAUCAAGACAUAGUUUAUAAAGAAGAAGAAAUGGGUUACAAUAAAUUUAUUUUUGAAUAAGAAAAUUAAUUUUUCUUUGAAAUUGGAUUUGAAAGUAAUUUUAUUUAUUUAAUAAAAUGAUUAAAGUUUUGAAAUAUGCACAUAUCGCCCGUCGCUCUUUCUAUAAAGGUAGAUAAGUCGUAACAUAGUAGAUGUACUGGAAAGUGUAUCUAGAAAGAA